UACGAAGGGGGCUAGCGUUGCUCGGAAUCACUGGGCGUAAAGCGCACGUAGGCGGAUCUUUAAGUCAGGGGUGAAAUCCUGGAGCUCAACUCCAGAACUGCCUUUGAUACUGGAGAUCUCGAGUCCGGAAGAGGUGAGUGGAACUCCGAGUGUAGAGGUGAAAUUCGUAGAUAUUCGGAAGAACACCAGUGGCGAAGGCGGCUCACUGGUCCGGUACUGACGCUGAGGUGCGAAAGCGUGGGGAGCAAACAGG
rnacentral:rRNA from 1 species